rnacentral:rRNA from 1 species
UACGUAGGGUGCGAGCGUUAAUCGGAAUUACUGGGCGUAAAGGGCUCGUAGGUGGCCAACUAAGUCAUACGUGAAAUCCCUCGGCUUAACCGGGGAACUGCGUCUGAUACUGGAUGGCUUGAGGUUGGGAGAGGGAUGCGGAAUUCCAGGUGUAGCGGUGAAAUGCGUAGAUAUCUGGAGGAACACCGGUGGCGAAGGCGGCAUCCUGGACCAAUUCUGACACUGAGGAGCGAAAGCCAGGGGAGCAAACGGG